GCUUGCUCUAUGAAAAAGAAGAGACAGCUAUUCAACUAAUAUUGAAAAUUUGACACCACAUUUUUAGAUAUUGUAGUUCUAUCCGUCCCUUCAUUUUCUAUCACGCUGGUCCUCAUUAGGGUUGUGGCUGAGCUGGAGGCUGCUUUUGGGAGAGACCCAACACCCUGGAGUCGUUGCCAGCCAAUCACGGUUUUCGGUGGUGGGUGAAAACAAAGUGGAAGAUGGCAGUAUGAGUCAAGAGCGAAGUGUUCCAUCCGUGUUCCUCGCACCCACGGCGUCAAGCCAGCCGCCUGUCCUCGCCACUGUUUGCCACACGUUCCAUGCCUUAACAACCCGCCAGCAUAUCUCAAGGACCAUCUCCAUUCCCCUUUGUUCAAUAAUACUUUUCAUCACAACCUUUCAGCCUCCGCCUGUUCUUGGUGUCACAGGUGUGUGUUCCGGUUGUUGUUUCCCCCCUGUCUCGUACACACCUGCUCCUGAGAGCAUCUUCACCACCUGUGCCUCGUUCACCCCAAUUACCCCUUGCAUUUAACCUCGUGUCUCAUUCUUUCUAGUCGCCAGUUCGUUGUACCUUGUCGUCGCGUUCCAGCGUUCCUUGUUU